rnacentral:rRNA from 1 species
AUUGAACGCUGGCGGCAGGCCUAACACAUGCAAGUCGAGCGAGCGGCGGACGGGUGAGUAAUGUCUGGGAAACUGCCUGAUGGAGGGGGAUAACUACUGGAAACGGUAGCUAAUACCGCAUACCAUCAGAUGUGCCCAGAUGGGAUUAGCUAGUGGGUGGGGUAACGGCUCACCUAGGCGACGAUCCCUGGCUGGUCUGAGAGGAUGACCAGCCACCCUGGAACUGGGACACGGCCCGGACUCCUACGGGAGGCAGCAGUGGGGAAUAUUGCACAAGGGGCGCAGGCCUGAUGCAGCCAUGCCGCGUGGGUGAAGAGGGCCUUCGGGUUGUAAAGCACUUUCAGCGGGGAGGCGUUACCCGCAGAAGAAGCACCGGCUAACUCCGUGCCAGCAGCCGCGGUAAUAC